rnacentral:rRNA from 1 species
CCUACGGGGGCUGCAGUGGGGAAUAUUGGACAAUGGGCGAAAGCCUGAUCCAGCCAUGCCGCGUGUGUGAAGAAGGCCUUCGGGUUGUAAAGCACUUUCAGUGGGGAAGAAAGCCUUGGGGCUAAUACCCUCGAGGAAGGACAUCACCCACAGAAGAAGCACCGGCUAACUCCGUGCCAGCAGCCGCGGUAAUACGGAGGGUGCGAGCGUUAAUCGGAAUUACUGGGCGUAAAGCGCGCGUAGGCGGUCUGAUAAGCCGGUUGUGAAAGCCCCGGGCUCAACCUGGGAACGGCAUCCGGAACUGUCAGGCUAGAGUGCAGGAGAGGAAGGUAGAAUUCCCGGUGUAGCGGUGAAAUGCGUAGAGAUCGGGAGGAAUAACAGUGGCGAAGGCGGCCUUCUGGACUGACACUGACGCUGAGGUGCGAAAGCGUGGGUAGCAAACAGGAUUAGAUACCCUGUAGUC